rnacentral:rRNA from 1 species
AAGCAUAUAACUAAGCGGAGGAAAAGAAACUAACAAGGAUUCCCCUAGUAAGGGCGACUGAAGCGGGAUCAGCCCAGAUUGUAAACUGACCUUAMUCAAGGUUGGGUUGUAGUCUAAAGAGGCGACGCCAGGCAAGGUCCGGGGAGAAGUCCCUUGGAACAGGGCAUCGGAGAGGGUGACAAUCCCGUCUGUGCCUCGGACCGCGUCGUACGGUGCGUCUUCGACGAGUCGGUUUGCUUGGGAUUGCAGACCAAACGGGUGGUAAAUUCCAUCUAAGGCUAAAUACGGGUGGGAGACCGAUAGCGAACAAGUACCGUGAGGGAAAGAUGCAAAGAACUUUGAAAAGAGAGUUAAAAAGGGCCUGAAACUGGUAAGAGGGAACCGAACGGCAGAAGUGGUGAUGGGCGCGUAUUUUCCGCCGGGCUCUUGGCCGGCGUACUUGUGCGCGUCCGUAGGUCAGCGUGGGUUGGGGCGUGGGAGUCGUUCAUGGGAAGGUCUUCGGACCAAUCUCGUGUUCAGGCCGCGCCUGAGACCUUCUGUGACAAAAUUCUUCCGUUCACCCC